rnacentral:tRNA from 1 species
AGGGGGUUAGUCCAAGACAAGACCUCUGAUUUCGGCUCAGAAGAUUGUGGUUAGAAUCCACGACCCCCUU